CCUAGAUCGAGGAAGGAUUUAAGCUGGUGGCAAAGGUUUUUGGGGCCUCUUUUGGACUUCCGUUUUGGAGCAGACACAUCUCUUCCAUGAUGAGUGGCAGCCAGCGGGAAAUGGAGCCAGUAAACUAUGGGAAGGUAUAAUCUUUAAGGAUAUGCUAUACUGAGCAGUGUUUCAAAGUCUACUGAAAAUGAAAUGCCAAAGUAUAUCCAUCUCUGCCCUGCUGAGUUGCCUACCAACAAAUUGUCAAAUAGGCUGAAAUGAUGGAGUCAUCAAUCCCAUUUGGGCAUCCCCCACUUUGAAGACAGGAAUUAAAUUCAACAAACAUUUAUUAGUUCACAAACUGUAAGCAGAGCACCAAGCAUUGUGGGUGCACAAUGAGCUAAUUUCAGAUGACUACGUCUGCCUUAAGCAAAUUGCCUUUCUGAAAAGGACAGAAAAGAGGAGCCAAGAAAAUAAUGAUACACAGCAACAUUUGAGCCAACUAUGAUCCAUCUGUGAGGCAGUUCCUACCUUUCAUCUCAUCGAUGACUUAACAGAGGCAAAGAGCCGCUUACAGGGCAUAGGCAAGGCAAAAGUCUAGAUGAAAACCAACCCUGGAGUCACCCCAGCACACAGGACUGAUUUUGUCCCAGCCAAGGGCAUAGAUGUCAAGUAAUCUUUUGAUGAAUUUAGUAUAUGCCUGUGAUUUUCAGAUAAUGGAUCAUAUUACAGUGGCCCUGUUUUACUCAGGGCAGCAGAGAUAUAUAAUACCUUUCUGCAAAACAGCAGCACAGUGCUUACUCCCUAGAUAAAUGCAUUCACUCACCCAUCCCUACAAGCCAACUCAUGUGUGCAUUCCCUAAUGCAAAAUAAUCCAUCCACAAACAAAUUCACAUACACUACAUAUAUGUCCACCAAGUGAUACAUAUAUACAUAUAUGUAUAUAGAUGCCCCCCAAUCACAUACCAUUUUACCAUAAAUCAGCCCUCAGAAACCUCCUCUAUCUGCCAGCGGCCCUCAUCCACACUACAAGCAUCUUUUAAAUCAGUUUUUAAUCAUAAAAAUCUUGCUUUCCAUCUACUCAUCAAGAAUGAAACUCGUAAUUUUUUAUAGCCUUCUAGAAGAGAAUAAGCAACCGAGAAAGAGAGUGGGAGAAUCUACAAUUAUUUGGUACCCCAUCACAGUCAAAGCAAGCAUUAAAUUGCUCAUAGUUCCAAGUGGGGUAUAAAACCCAGCCACUGGCAUGCUCUUUACCUUCCUAUGACUGUGCAUCCCGAUGGGGCUUAGUAGUCCAUGCCCUUUGGUUUUCCCCUUCCCAGCCCUGCCUCCUUUCCGUUGUUUCAUUUACCAGACGUAGAAUUCAGUGUAAACAGCAUUUAUCUACUUAAGCCCCUAAAUGAGAACAGAGGAACAUUGACAAGUAAUGGGAACCUAAAAGAGCCAGCUGCUCCUCUCAUUCCCUCACGCUCCAUAUUUCCCCUUCCUCGUAGCUCAGGAAAAUGAGAAG